rnacentral:rRNA from 1 species
AGAGUUUGAUCCUGGCUCAGAGCGAACGUUNNGCGGCGUGCUUAACACAUGCAAGUCGAACGCGCAGCAUUCUGUAGCAAUACAGGGUGUGGGCGCGUGGCGAACGGGUGCGUAACACGUGGAUAACCUUCCUUCAGGUGGGGAAUAACCCCGCGAAAGCGGGGCUAAUACCGCAUAACAUGACGAGGGCACAUGCUUUUGUCUUCAAAGGCGCAAGUCGCCAGAAGAGGGAUCCGCGGCCGAUUAGCUUGUUGGCGAGGUAAUGGCUCACCAAGGCUUUGAUCGGUAGCCGGACUGAGAGGUUGGCCGGCCACACUGGAACUGAGACACGGUCCAGACUCCUACGGGAGGCAGCAGUGGGGAAUCUUGCACAAUGGGCGAAAGCCUGAUGCAGCAACGCCGCGUGGGGGAUGAAGCUUCUCGGAGUGUAAACCCCUUUCGACCCGGACGAAUGCCCGCAAGGGCUUGACGGUACGGGUAUAAGAAGCCCCGGCUAACUACGUGCCAGCAGCCGCGGUAAUACGUAGGGGGCCAGCGUUGCUCGGAAUUACUGGGCGUAAAGGGUCCGUAGGCGGUGCGGCAAGUCGGAUGUGAAAUCUCUGGGCUUAACCCAGAGGCUGCUUCCGAAACUGCCGCGCUAGAGGAUGAGAGAGGCGAGUGGAAUUGCGGGUGUAGCGGUGAAAUGCGUAGAUAUCCGCAGGAACAUCCGAGGCGAAGGCGGCUCGCUGGAUCAUUUCUGACGCUGAGGGACGAAAGCUAGGGGAGCAAACAGGAUUAGAUACCCUAGUAGUCC